UACGUAGGGUGCAAGCGUUAAUCGGAAUUACUGGGCGUAAAGCGUGCGCAGGCGGUUUUGCAAGACAGGUGUGAAAUCCCCGGGCUUAACCUGGGAACUGCACUUGUGACUGCACGGCUUGAGUGCGGCAGAGGGGGAUGGAAUUCCGCGUGUAGCAGUGAAAUGCGUAGAUAUGCGGAGGAACACCGAUGGCGAAGGCAAUCCCCUGGGCCUGCACUGACGCUCAUGCACGAAAGCGUGGGGAGCAAACAGG
rnacentral:rRNA from 1 species